UCAAGUUGAACCCUAAAACUAAUGCUCUCACUUGUCCCCCCCCCCACACCCACAAAGUCACACACCAACUUUCACAUUCUCUCUCUUCUACUUUCCCUCUUUCACUCCCCUUCUCACCAUCGCUCAUCAACCUCCCUCAAUCUCUCUCAUCUUUUUAUGUUGUUGAUGUUGCUUCUGCUUCCCCUUCGCAUCUGAUGUUGAUGUUGCUGCUAGGCUUGGCUUCCUCUUCCCUAUACACCAAGGACUCCAACUCUUCACUUCUUCAGCAGUCUUUCUCUCCCUCCCUCAUUUUAUUUUUCAGAUCUAUUGCUUCCGAGUCAACUCGGUGAAAAACUCAAGCAAUGAAGAACAUGAAGAAUUGUAAAUCUUUUUCUUAAUCUUGGUGAUAUUAUAGGGUGAUAGUAUAGGGAAGAUGAUUUUUUAAGUUCAGGUGAUUGUAAAUAAUUUUCUUUUUGAGCUACUUCAGAUGUUUAGAUCUACAUUUUAGUUGAAAUUUUACAUUUUUUUGGAUAUUCCUAUGUAAUUAUCACUGUUAUAUAUAUCUUAUUAUUUUGGUGAUUCUGUA